AUGUCCCUUAGGGUGACCCAGAAGUCCUACAAGGUGUCCACCUCUGGCCCCCAGGCCUUCAGCAGCUUCUCCCACAAGAGUGGGCUGGGUGCCUGCAUUAACUCCUCGAGCUUCUCCUAAGUGGGCAGCAGCAGCUUCUGGGCUGGCCUAGGCAGAGGCCAUGGUGGGACCAGUAGCAUGGGAGGCAUCACUGCCGUCAUGGUCAACCAGAGCCUGCUGAGCCCCCUUAACCUUGAAGUGGACCCCAACAUCCAGGCCAUGUGCACCCAGGAGAAGGAUCGUAUCAAGACCUUCAACAACAAGUUUGCCUCCUUCAUCGACAAGGUAGGGUUCCUGAAGCAGCAGCACAAGAUGCUGGAGACCAAGUGGAGCCUCCUGCAGCAGCAGCAGAUGGCUCCGAGCAACAUGGACAACAUUUUCGAGAGCUACAGCAACAACCUUAGGCGGCAGCUGGAGACUCUGGACCAAAAGAAGCUGAAACUGGAGGUGGAGCUUUGUAACAUGCAGGGGCUGGUGGGAGACUUCAAGAACAAGUACAGGAUGAGAUCAAUAAGCCAGUGGAGAUGGAGUAUGCAUUUGUCCUCAUCAAAAAGGAUGUGGAUGAAGCUUACAUGAACAAGGUAGAGCUGGAGUCUCGCCUGGAAGGGCUGACUGACGAGAUCAACUUCCUCAGGCAGCUGUAGGAAGAGGAGACCCUGGAGCUGCAGUCCCAGAUCUCAGACACCGCUCCCUGGACAUGGACAACAUCACCGCUGAGAUCAAGGAGCAGUACGAGGAGAUCGCCAACCGCAGCCGCGCUGACGCAGAGAGCAUGCAACAGAUAAGUAUGAGGAGCUGCAGACGCUGGCUGGGAAGCACGGGGAUGACCUGCGGCUACAAAGACUGAGAUGUCCGAGGUGAACCGCAACAUCCGCCGGCUCCAGGCUGAGAUUGAGGGCCUCAAAGGCUAAAGGGCUUCCCUGGAGGCCGGCAUCGCAGAUGCCGAGCAGCAUGGGGAGCUGGAGGUUAAGGAUGCCAACGCCAAGCUGUCUGAGCUGGAGGCUGCCCUGCAGCAGGCCAAGCAGGCCAUGGCGCGGCAGCUGCGUGAGUACCAGGAGCUGAUGAACGUCAAGCUGGCCCUGAUCAUCGAGAUCGCCACCUACAGGAAGCUGCUGGAGGGUGAGGAGAGCCGGCUGCAGUCUGGGAUGCAGAACAUGAGUAUCCGUACGAAGACCACCAGCCGCUAUUCCGCUGGUCUGAGCUCGGCCUAUGGGGGCCUCACAAGCCCCGGCCUCUGCUAUGACCUGUGCUCCAGCUUUGGCUCUGGUUCUUAA